AUUGAACGCUGGCGGCAUGCCUUACACAUGCAAGUCGAACGGUAACAGGUCUUCGGAUGCUGACGAGUGGCGAACGGGUGAGUAAUACAUCGGAACGUGCCCGAGAGUGGGGGAUAACGCAGCGAAAGCUGUGCUAAUACCGCAUACGAUCUACGGAUGAAAGCGGGGGAUCGCAAGACCUCGCGCGGACGGAGCGGCCGAUGGCAGAUUAGGUAGUUGGUGGGAUAAAAGCUUACCAAGCCGACGAUCUGUAGCUGGUCUGAGAGGACGACCAGCCACACUGGGACUGAGACACGGCCCAGACUCCUACGGGAGGCAGCAGUGGGGAAUUUUGGACAAUGGGCGCAAGCCUGAUCCAGCCAUGCCGCGUGCAGGAUGAAGGCCUUCGGGUUGUAAACUGCUUUUGUACGGAACGAAAAGCUCUCUCUAAUACAGGGGGUGAAGUGACGGUACCGUAAGAAUAAGCAACCGGCUAACUACGUGCCAGCAC
rnacentral:rRNA from 1 species